rnacentral:rRNA from 1 species
AACGAACGCUGGCGGCAGGCCUAACACAUGCAAGUCGAACGAGAAGCUGACUUCGGUCAGUGGAGAGUGGCGCACGGGUGAGUAACGCGUGGGAAUUUGCCUCUUGGUACGGGAUAACGUUUGGAAACGAACGCUAAUACCGUAUGUGAUCUACGGAUUAAAGAUUUAUCGCCAAGAGAGAAGCCCGCGUAGGAUUAGGUAGUUGGUGGGGUAAUGGCCCACCAAGCCAACGAUCUUUAGCUGGUCUGAGAGGACGAUCAGCCACACUGGAACUGAGACACGGUCCAGACUCCUACGGGAGGCAGCAGUGGGGAAUAUUGGACAAUGGGGGCAACCCUGAUCCAGCCAUGCCGCGUGAGUGAAGAAGGCCUUAGGGUUGUAAAGCUCUUUCGCUAGGGAAGAUAAUGACGGUACCUAGUAAAGAAGUCCCGCUAACU